rnacentral:tRNA from 1 species
CAAAUUGGAGCUUGGUAAGCAUUUCAUUUACAUUGAAAAGAUAUUAAUUUAUUUAUUUAAUUUGA